UACAGAGGUCUCAACCGUUGUUCGGAUUUAUUGGGCGUAAAGGGUGCGUAGGUGGUCGUGUAAGUCGGAUGUGAAAUCCUAAGGCUCAACCUUGGAACUGCAUUCGAUACUGGAUGGCUUGAGCGCUGGAAAGGAGACUGGAAUUUACGGUGUAGCAGUGAAAUGCGUAGAUAUCGUAAGGAAGACCAGUGGCGAAAGCGAGUCUCUGGACAGAUGCUGACACUGAGGCACGAAGGCCAGGGGAGCAAACGGG
rnacentral:misc_RNA from 1 species